UUAAAUUUUAUUUAUUAGUUUUUAUUGUUUAUUAAAUAAAUUAUUAAAAAUAAUUAUAAAAAUAUUUGUUUUAGUAUUUUUUAAGGAAAAAAUAAAUUUAAUUAUAGUGUAAUAGUAUUGUGAAAGAAAAUUGAAAUAAAUUGAAAAAUUUUUAUAAAAAAAGAAAAUUUAAUUUAUUGUACCUUGUGUAUCAGGGUUUAUCUAAUAAAAAUUAAUUAAUUUAAUUUUCUCGAUUUUAAAAGAGUUAAUAUAUUAUGAAAAUUAAUGUAAUAAAAUUAUUUUAAAUAAUAUAUUAGUAAUGAAAUGUUAUUCGUUUUUAAAGGUAUCUAGUUCUUUAAGAAAAAAAUUUAAUUUUGAGAUUUUAUAUUAUUUAUUUUAUUUUUAAUUUAAAUAAUUAUUUAAUUUUAAUAUUUUAUGGGAUAAGCUAUAAAAUAAAUUAUUAAAAAUAAUUGAAUAAGUUAAUAAAUAUAAACUUAGAAAUAGUUAUUAUUAAUAAAAGUGUUAUAAUUUAUUUUAUAAUUUAAAUUAUUUAAUAGAUUUUUAAUUAUUUAUUAAAGUAUUUAUUUUAAUUUUGUAAAUAAAAAAAUAAUGAUAAAAUUAGUAUAUAAAUAUUUUGUAUAAAUAAAUUUUUAUGAAAAGUUUUUAUAAAGAAUUCGGCAAAAUUUAAUAUUCGCCUGUUUAACAAAAACAUGUCUUUUUGAAUUAAUUUUAAAGUCUAACCUGCCCACUGAAUUUAUUUAAAUGGCCGCAGUAUACUAACUGUGCAAAGGUAGCAUAAUCAUUAGUCUUUUAAUUGAAGGCUGGUAUGAAUGGUUGGACGAAAUAUUAACUGUUUCAUAAAAAUUUUUAAUAGAAUUUUAUUUUUUAGUCAAAAAGCUAAAAUUAAUUUAAAAGACGAGAAGACCCUAUAAAUCUUUAUAUUUAAAUUUUCCUAGUUUUUUUGAUUAAUUUUAUUAUGAUAAUUUAUAAUAUUUUAUUGGGGUGAUAUUAAAAUUUAAUAAACUUUUAAUUAUUAAAUUCAUUAAUUUAUGUUUAAUUGAUCCGUUAUUAACGAUUAAAAAUUUAAGUUACUUUAGGGAUAACAGCGUAAUUUUUUUGGAGAGUUCAUAUCGAUAAAAAAGAUUGCGACCUCGAUGUUGGAUUAAGAAAUAAUUUUAGGUGUAGUCGUUUAAAUUUUAAGUCUGUUCGACUUUUAAAUUCUUACAUGAUCUGAGUUCAGACCGGCGUAAGCCAGGUUGGUUUCUAUCUUUAAAAAAUUAAAAUAUUUCAGUACGAAAGGACCUAAUAUUUAAUAAAUUAUUAUUUUUAUAUUGAAUAUUAUUAAUAUAAAAUA
rnacentral:rRNA from 1 species